rnacentral:rRNA from 1 species
UAGAUACCCUGGUAGUCCACGCCGUAAACGAUGAGUGCUAGGUGUUAGACCCUUUCCGGGGUUUAGUGCCGCAGCUAACGCAUUAAGCACUCCGCCUGGGGAGUACGGUCGCAAGACUGAAACUCAAAGGAAUUGACGGGGGCCCGCACAAGCGGUGGAGUAUGUGGUUUAAUUCGAAGCAACGCGAAGAACCUUACCAGGUCUUGACAUCCCUCUGAUCGCUCUAGAGAUAGAGUUUUCCUUCGGGACA